rnacentral:rRNA from 1 species
UGCAUAUCAAUAAGCGGAGGAAAAGAAACUAACAAGGAUUCCCCUAGUAACGGCGAGUGAAGCGGGAAGAGCUCAAAUUUGUAAUCUGGCACUUUCAGUGUCCGAGUUGUAAUCUCGAGAAGUAUUUUCCGCGCCGGACCGCAUACAAGUCUGUUGGAAUACAGCGUCAUAGUGGUGAGAACCCCGUAACUGAUGCGGAUGCCCGGUGCUUUGUGAUAUACUUUCGAAGAGUCGAGUUGUUUGGGAAUGCAGCUCAAAUUGGGUGGUAAAUUCCAUCUAAAGCUAAAUAUUGGAGCAAGACCGAUAGCGAACAAGUACCGUGAGGGAAAGAUGAAAAGCACUUUGGAAAGAGAGUUAACAGUACGUGAAAUUGUUGGAAGGGAAACGCUUGAAGUCAGACUUGCUAUUCGGAGUUCAGCCGCAAGGUGUAUUCUUCGAUUUGCAGGCCAGCAUCAGUUUUUGGGGGUGGAAAAUCGUGGUUUGAAGGUAGCAGUUUCGGCUGUGUUAUAGCUUUCCACUGGAUUCAUCUUCGGGGACUGAGGAACGCAGUACGCUUUUUGCAAGGCUUUCGAGCUUUUCGUACUUAGGAUGCUGGUGGAAUGGCUUUAAACGACCCGUCUUGAAACACGGACCA